CUCGCCGCCAUUUUGCUGGCUGGCUGGAUUUAAAAUAGGAACCAGCCUCCAAGCGGCCGCCAGCUACAGCCGGAGCCAGCCCGUCUCGAAGCGCGUGGUCAGCUGGGACUUGUAGUUUCCAGGAAUCCCCGCCGUGGGCUCUCGGAGGACAUGUCGUCUCUAUUACUCCAACGCUUUGCAUGGCCACGUGCCACUUUUCUGCCCUCUCGACCUUCCCCUCCCGAAAAGCCUCGUGGGAUUUGUAGUCUUAACAGUGUUGUGCCGUGGCAUGCCUUCUCUCCCCUUUCUGCACGGGAGUACGUUGGUUGAAGAUCCCCACUUGUCUUGGACAAACCUCCAAACAACAAAACACAAAAUAUUACUAGAUAGAAUGCAGGAGGCUUUGUCUGAAACGUGAGAAGAUCCUGUCUGGAAGCUGGGGUAGGGGAGAUGGAGAUCCCAGCUUGUUGAGCCUGUAAGAGAGGGAGAUCAGAAAGAAGACCCACCAGCAACUCUGAGAUUGGCACUGAAAUUUCCCCUGGCAGAAUCCAGCAGCUAUAAAGGGGUAAUAAUUAUGACAAAACCUGUCAACUGAGCUCAGCAACCUCAACAGCAAUCAAAGAAACAGAGUAAGCUGCUUUAUACUGAAGAAGACUGUUGGUCCCUCAGUAUUGUCUACUACAUCAGUGGUUUUCAAAGUACAAGUCAAAACCCAGGACUAGGUGGCGGGAUAUCAAGCACAGGUUCCUUGCAAAUUUAAAAAUCGAAUGAUCUCUUAAAAUAUCGUCCACAGCAUUUUUUAAGCUUAUACUUUUUGUGCACAACAUGGCCGUUUUGAAUGUAGCCAAUCAGCUAAUAAGGAUGCUUUCCUGCUCACUGCUGUGGAGACAUGAGCUGUGAUGUGCAACCAAUAACACUUUUAGGUCGUAGGGAUAAGUGAUUGCCUUAAAUGACAUUGCAAGAAAAUAAGUUUGAAAGCCACCAACCUACACUGACAGCAUUCCAAAGAAAGAGUCCUACAUGUAGAUGUCAAGGACUGGAUAAAGAACCUUGACCUUCAGCCCACACAAAGCAUGUGCUCUGCCUCCAAGAUAUGGCUCCAUCCCCUAACCAUCAAGGCUGUGAACCAGUUGUGUAUAUAAAAGGAAAUUUUAAAUUAUUUAUUAAAACAAAUUUACAAAAGAUA